AGGUCAUAACUUUUGACUCUGCCUUUCCAAAACAUUCACUUUAUUCUUCUUUAAGGUAGGUGGGUAUAUUUUGUCACAAUAUAAUAUAUAUAAUAGUAUAAAGUAUAAAUUGAGUUUGUAUCUCCCUUCUGGUACAUAGCAGACAUUAUCAGGCUAAUAUAGAAGCAAUUAUAAAAAUGGUAAACAUAAAUAAACUAUGAUCAGUGGAGCAGUGCUGAGGAUGAACUAUAGUUUAAUAGUCUGAUAGCUUGGGGGGAAAUGUUGCUCUGCAGUUGGUGCGGCAGCAGAAACUUCUAUAUCUCUUCCCAGAAGGCAGCAGGAUGAACAGGCUGUGGCUGGAUGUGAUGGAAAACCCAGUUGUGGCACCGUGCUGCCGCAGCCUCGUUGGAUGCCGGGUCUGCGUUGAGCAGUGGGCAACUACCUCGCCGCACUGCCCAAAAUGCAGGGACGAGAUGUUCCAAGAAAAAAAAAAUUUAAAUUACAGGGAUGGGGGAGAUUGUGAAUGUUUUGAAAGACACUAUUAGUUAGGAGAUUGUUUUAGUUAGUUUUUAUUUUAGGUUUAGGUUUUAAGUUAAGUCAAAUGGUUAAGUUUGGUUAUGUUCAUCUGUUAUGUUAUUUUAUGCAAUUAAUAAAUUGUUCAAUUUUAUUUUCUAUUACUCUCACUUGCAGAACUCCUUUUGUUGUAUUCAUUUUAUGUUAUUUUAUGCAAAUAAUAAAUUAAUAUAAAUAUUUUAAUAAAAUAAAUUAUGUUCACUUUCA